GUGCGAUGGGGGGACGGAUCGCGAAAUGUUGUCCGGGUGUUGGACGUCCCGGUUACUGCAUCCAAGAUGGCUGUUAGGCAAAUCCGGCAGCGUGAUUCAAGGGUGUGGAACGAGCGAGCUUGCUCGCGAAGCAACAGGAAGUGGUUCCAGGAAAAGCCUCUAAGCUUCAGCUUGGUACGACCGUACCGCAAACCGACACUGGUGGGCGGGAUGAGUAUUCUCAGGCGCUUGAGAGAACCCAGGAGAAGGAACUCGGCAAAUUGAUACCGUAACUUCGGGAGAAGGUAUGCCCCA
rnacentral:rRNA from 18 species